UCCAGGCCCUACGGGGCGCAGCAGUCGCGAAAACUUCACACUGCGGGAACCCGUGAUGAGGGAACCCCGAGUGCCCAGGCAUUAGUCUGGGCUGUUCUCCUGUCUAAAAAACAGGUGAAGUAAGGGCUGGGUAAGACCGGUGCCAGCCGCCGCGGUAAUACCGGCAGCCCAAGUGGUGACCCUUUUUAUUGAGCCUAAAACGUCCGUAGCCGGUUCGGCAAAUCUCUGGGCAAAUCGGGCAGCUUAACUGUUCGACUUCCAGAGAGACUACCGGACUAGGGACCGGGAGAGGUCAGAGGUACGUCGGGGGUAGGGGUAAAAUCCUUUAAUCCUCGACGGACCACCGGUGGCGAAGGCGUCUGACUAGAACGGAUCCGACGGUAAGGGACGAAGGCUAGGGGCGCAAACCGGAUUAGAUACCCGGGUAGUCCUAGCUGUAAACGCUGCAGGCUUGGUGUUGGAGCUCCUUCGAGGGGUUUCAGUGCCGUAGCGAAGGUGUUAAGCCUGCUGCUUGGGGAGUACGGUCGCAAGACUGAAACUUAAAGGAAUUGGCGGGAGAGCACAGCAACGGGAGGAGCGUGCGGUUUAAUUGGAUUCAACGCCGGAAAACUCACCAGGGGCGACUGUUACGUGAAGGCCAGGCUGAUGACCUUGCCUGAUUUUCAGAGAGGUGGUGCAUGGCCGCCGUCAGUUCGUACCGUGAGGCGUUCUCUUAAGUGAGAUAACGAACGAGACCCUCGCCCCUAUUUGCCAUCCAUCUCUCCGGAGGUGGAGCACUAUAGGGGGACCGCUGGCGCUAAGUCAGAGGAAGGAGAGGUCAACGGUAGGUCAGUAUGCCCCGAAUCUCCUGGGCCACACGCGCGCUACAAAGGACAGGACAAUGGGCUGCAACACCGAGAGGUGAAGCCAAUCCCGAAACCUGUUCGUAGUCCGGACUGAGGGUUGUAACUCACCCUCACGAAGCUGGAUUCCGUAGUAAUCGCGGGUCAACAUCCCGCGGUGAAUGUGCCCCUGCUCUUUGCACACACCGCCCGUC
rnacentral:rRNA from 1 species